rnacentral:rRNA from 1 species
AGAAUCAACGCUGGCGGCGUGCCUAACACAUGCAAGUCGCACGAGAAAGGGGAGCAAUCCCUGAGUAAAGUGGCGCACGGGUGAGUAACACGUGAAUGAUCUACCUCCGAGUGGGGAAUAACUGAGAGAAAUCUUAGCUAAUACCGCAUAAUACCCACGGGUCAAAGCAGCAAUGCGCUUGGAGAGGAGUUCGCGGCCGAUUAGCUAGUUGGCGGGGUAAUGGCCCACCAAGGCGAUGAUCGGUAUCCGGCCUGAGAGGGCGCACGGACACACUGGAACUGAAACACGGUCCAGACUCCUACGGAGGCAGCAGUGGGGAAUUUUGCGCAAUGGGGAAACCCUGACGCAGCAACGCCGCGUGGAGGAUGAAGCCCCUUGGGGUGUAAACUCCUUUCGAUCGGGAAGAUAAUGACGGUACCGAUAUAAGAAGCCCCGGCUAACUUCGUGCCAGCAGCCGC